rnacentral:rRNA from 1 species
CCUACGGGAGGCAGCAGUAAGGAAUCUUUCACAAUGGGCGAAAGCCUGAUGGAGCAACGCCGCGUGCAGGAUGAAGGUCUUCGGGUUGUAAACUGCUGUUAUAAGCGAGAAAUAUGAUGGCAACUUAUGAAUAAGGAUCGGCUAACAACGUGCCAGCAGCCGCGGUCAUACGUAGGAUCCGAGCAUGAUCCGGAGUAACUGGGUGUAAAGAGAUGCGUAGAUGGUAUAAUAAGUAGCUAGAGAAAUCUGGUGGCCCAUCCAUUCAGACUAUUAGCUAAACUGUUAAGCUAGAGACCGUUAGGGGUAAGUGGAAUUUCUAGUGUAGCGGUGAAAUCCGUAGAUAUUAGGAAGAACACCAAUAGCGUAGGCAGGUUACUGGGACGGUACUGACGCUAAGGCACGAAAGCGUAGGGAGCAAACAGGAUUAGAUACCCCUGUAGUC